rnacentral:rRNA from 1 species
CCUACGGGAGGCUGCAGUGAGGAAUAUUGGUCAAUGGGCGGAAGCCUGAACCAGCCAAGUAGCGUGCAGGAUGACGGCUCUACGGGUUGUAAACUGCUUUUAUACGGGAAUAACGCGCCUUACGUGUACGGCUUUGUAUGUACCGUAUGAAUAAGGAUCGGCUAAUUCCGUGCCAGCAGCCGCGGUAAUACGGAAGAUCCGGGCGUUAUCCGGAUUUAUUGGGUUUAAAGGGAGCGUAGGUGGCAAGUUAAGCGUGCUGUGAAAUGUCGUGGCUCAACCCGAGCCUUGCAGCGCGAACUGGCGUGCUUGAGUCCGCGGAAAGCAGGCGGAAUGCGUCGUGUAGCGGUGAAAUGCUUAGAUAUGACGAAGAACCCCGAUUGCGAAGGCAGCUUGCUGCAGCGGAACUGACGCUGAUGCUCGAAAGCGCGGGUAUCGAACAGGAUUAGAUACCCCUGUAGUC